rnacentral:rRNA from 1 species
CUACGGGGGGCAGCAGUCGAGAAUAGUCUACAAUGGACGAAAGUCUGAUAGUGCGACGCCGCGUGGAUGAAGAAGCAUUUCGGUGUGUAAAGUCCUUUUCUGUGUGAGCAAUGUUUUCCAGGUUAAUAGCUUGGAGAAAGCGAUAUUAACACAGGAAUAAGCUCCGGCUAACUCCGUGCCAGCAGCCGCGGUAACACGGGGGGAGCAAGGGUGUCCGGAAUUACUAGGCGUAAAGGGUAAGUAGGCGGAAUUGUAAGUCAGAUGUUAAAGGCACCGGCUCAACCGGUGUAUGGCAUUUGAUACUGUAAUUCUAGAGUAAGAUGGGGGAAGACGGAAUUCCUGGUGUAGCGGUGGCAUGCGCAGAUAUCAGGAGGAACACCAGAGGCGCAGGCGGUCUUCUAUACCAUUACUGACGCUCAAUUACGAAGGUGUGGGUAUCAAACAGGAUUAGAUACCCCAGUAGUC